rnacentral:lncRNA from 1 species
CCUCUCAGGAAGUGGGCACAAACUCUCGCCCGACACCACGAAAGUUCCGGGUCAGGGAGCUGCGUUGGCAGAGGCCAGGAGGGGCCCGGGAUUGGGGUCUGCGGGCCGCCCUGGGCGUUGCCAUUGCGCUGCGGUGCUGUGCUUGUGUGAUUGGUUUAUUUAUUUAUUUAUUUAAACGGAGUCUCGCUCUGUCGCCCAGGCUGGAGUACAGUGGCGCGACCUUGGCUCAUUGCAACCUCCACCUCCCAGGUUCAAGCGAUUCUCCCGCCUCAGCCUCCCAAGUAGCUGGCACUACAGGCGCCCGCCACCACGCCCGGCUAAUUUGGCUAAUUUUGUAUUUUUGGUAGACACGGGGUUUCACCGUGUUGGCCAGGCUGGUCUUAAAACUACUGAACUCAAGCGAUCCUCUGGCGUCAGCCUCCUGAAGUGCUGGGAAUGCAGGUGUGAGCCACCGCGCCUGGCCUGUUUUUUAAGUCUCAAUUUCAGUAUUUUAAUGCCAUCACCUAUUUUAAUCCCCAGGUCCAUCAUGACAUCUGGUCAUCCCUAGACAAGUUCCGAGUGCCCCCAGUCUUCCCCUCCUUCCUCACUCCUCGACCUCGGGAGCAGCCUCCCAACGGCUUUCCUGGGUCCGUCUUUCCCCUUUGAUCAGAAACCCGCACAGAAGUCAGGCACCAGGUCUUCUGCCUGAGGCCUCUGGCAGCUCCCACUAUGCUGUGAAUGAACCCCAACUCCUGGCCUCCGCCUUCCCCUGCCCACCUCCAGCCAUGGCAGCCUCCACCCCCAUUCCCAGCCCACCAAGCCCUUUCCUGCCUCAGGGACAUUGUACGUGCGUGCGAUGCCUCCUCCACAGAGCGGACCUCCCUGACCACUGCCCUAAUGGGCUUCUCCAUCACUGUGGCCUCCACGGCACUUGUCACCACCCAUUCGUUUGUUUACUGGUUGUUGUCGGUCACAUACGAGUGUGAAUUCCACCAAGGCAGGAAUCACAUUCUGGCUCAAUCCCCACCGAAUGCCCAGUGCCUGACACACCUGUUCAACCAGUUGCUCUCGUUCUUUUUUUUAAAAAACUUUUUGAGACGGAGUUUCGCUCUUGUUGCCCAGGCUGGAGUGCAAUGGUGCAAUCUUGGCUCACCGCAACCUCCGCCUCCUGGGUUCAAGCGAUUCUCCUGCCUCAGCUUCCCGAGUAGCUGGGAUUACAGGCAUGGGCCACCAUACUGGGCUAAUUUUGUAUUUUUAGUAGAGAUGGAGUUUUUCCAUGUUGGUCAGGCUGGUCUCGAACUCCCAACCUCAGGUGAUCCACUCGCCUUGGCCUCCCAAAGUGCUAGGAUUACAGGUGUGAGCCACCGCACCCGGUCUCUUUAAAAUUUUUUGAGACGGAGUUUUGCUCUUUCGCCCAGGUUGGAGUGAGGUGGCGCAGUCUCGGCUCAUAGCAACCUCCACCCCCUAGGUUCAAGCGAUUCAGCCUCAGCCUCCCUAGUAGCUGGGAUUAUAGGCAACCACCACCACACCCUGUUAAUUUUUUGUAUUUUUAGUAGAGACAGGGUUUCACCAUGUUGGCCAGGCUGGUCUUGAACGCCUGACCUCAGGUGAUCCACCCGCUUCGGCCUAAGUGCUAGGAUUACAGGCGUGAGCCACUGUGCCCAGCCUCAGUUGCCUUUUUCGACCUCUCUGUCUCUCCUGGGUGUGAGCCAUUGUCUGCUAUUGGUGCAUUUUGUAAUCUUUUGCGACAUCCUUGUCCUUGCCUGUUACUGUGUAUAGAACAGGGUUUAUUUCUGCCUCUCUGGAAGGGUGGGCUAGAGUCUGGAUAUGUUGGAGGGAAUAUUAUGUGUAGUGACUUCAGUGUUGUCUCUCCCUUUAAGGAAUGGGAGGUCCUCUGCCUUCCAUGUAGUCACUGCUGUUUCCAUUCUACCAUGUCGGCAUCCAGCCUCUACCCCUUUGUUGCAAGAAAGAAUAAAUCUGAUAAGAGGUACAGGAGAAUCCCGAGACCUGGGAUGCGCAGGGCAGAUAUGCCCACCUACACCGCUGUCUGGGGACCUAAAAACAACUCAGACACA